UGGGGGACUGGCUGCCACACUGCUUCUUGCUACCUUUUCUGUUUUUCUUUCCUUUUUCCUUUCUCUACUCCCCUUCACCUGCCCCACCCCCACUCAGUGAUCAAGACGGUGCCCUUCACGGCCCGCACCGGCAAGCGGACAUCCCGGCUCCUCUGUGAGGCCAGCCUGGGAGAAGAGAUGCCCCUCUAGCCCCUCAGAUCUGCGGAACCAGCCCUACAUCCGCGCAGACACAGGCCGCCGCAGUGCCCGUCGGCGUCCCCCGGGCCCCCCACUGCAGGUCACCUCCGACCUCUCGCUGUAGCCGCUAUUUCUGCAGGUGGAUUCUGCAGGGGUGUGGGGCCGUGGACAGGCUGAGGCUCAAGGAAGGUGGUCCUCAGCUCGGCUGGCCGGGCAGCCCCUCCUCCGCUGUGGCCCGCCUCAAACGGGCUGGUGCAUCCUCCUCUUGGCCACAGAGGGCAGCAUCGCCCGCCCCUUCCCCCAAAUGCUGCUUGCAGCACCCACCCUAAAGCCCCCUCCAAAUAGCCAUACUUAGCCUCAGCAGGAGCCUGGCCUGUAACUUAUAAAGUGCACCUCGCCCCCGCAAGCCCCAGCCCCGAGGACCGUCCAUGGACCUUAUUUUUAUACGAGAUUAAUAAAGAUGUUUGCAAAAGAUCCGCGUCGGCUCCGUGCCUGCCGCAGCCACCCGCAGCCUGUUUCCGCUCAGCAAACGCUU
rnacentral:lncRNA from 1 species